rnacentral:rRNA from 1 species
UUAGGAAGUGUUCUUAGGCAAAUCCGGGAGCACAAUUCCGAGACGUGAUGACGAGUCCCUUUUAGGGGCGAAGUAAUCGAUGCCAUGCUCCCAGGAAAAGCCUCUAAGCUUCAGGUAGUAAGUGACCGUACCGUAAACCGACACAGGUGGGUGAGGAGAGAAUCCUAAGGCGCUUGAGAGAACUCGGGUGAAGGAACUCUGCAAAUUAGUACCGUAACUUCGGGAGAAGGUACGCCCGCAUUGGUGAAGAACUUCGCGUUCGGAGCUGAUACGGGCCUCAGAAAAUAGGUGGCUGCGACUGUUUACUAAAAACACAGCACUCUGCGAACUCGUAAGAGGAAGUAUAGGGUGUGACGCCUGCCCGGUGCCGGAAGGUUAAUUGAUGGGGUUAGCUCUUCGGAGCGAAGCUCUUGAUCGAAGCCCCGGUAGACGGCGGCCGUAACGAUAACGGUCCUAAGGUAGCGAAAUUCCUUGUCGGGUAAGUUCCGACCUGCACGAAUGGCGUAACGAUGGCCACACUGUCUCCAUCCGAGACUCAGUGAAGUUGAAAUCGCUGUGAAGAUGCAGUGUACCCGCGGCUAGACGGAAAGACCCCGUGAACCUUUACUAUAGCUUUGCACUGAAUUUUGAACUUGUCUGUGUAGGAUAGGUGGGAGGCUUUGAAGCGGAGACGCUAGUCUUCGUGGAGCCAACCUUGAAAUACCACCCUGGCACGUUUGGAGUUCUAACCUAGGCCCGUUAUCCGGGUCGGGGACAGUGCAUGGUGGGUAGUUUGACUGGGGCGGUCUCCUCCCAAAGAGUAACGGAGGAGCACAAAGGUACCCUCAGCGCGGUCGGACAUCGCGCAUUGAGUGCAAAGGCACAAGGGUGCUUGACUGCGAGACAGACAAGUCGAGCAGGGACGAAAGUCGGUCUUAGUGAUCCGGUGGUUCUGUAUGGAAGGGCCAUCGCUCAACGGAUAAAAGGUACUCCGGGGAUAACAGGCUGAUUCCUCCCAAGAGUCCACAUCGACGGAGGAGUUUGGCACCUCGAUGUCGGCUCAUCACAUCCUGGGGCUGUAGCAGGUCCCAAGGGUUCGGCUGUUCGCCGAUUAAAGUGGUACGCGAGCUGGGUUUAGAACGUCGUGAGACAGUUCGGUCCCUAUCUGCCGUGGGCGUUGGAAAUUUGAGGGGAGCUGCUCCUAGUACGAGAGGACCGGAGUGGACGUACCUCUGGUGUUCCGGUUGUCACGCCAGUGGCACCGCCGGGUAGCUACGUACGGAAGGGAUAACCGCUGAAAGCAUCUAAGCGGGAAGCCUACCCCAAGAUUAGAUUUCCCUGGGGACUCGAUCCCCCUAAAGGGCCCUCGUAGACUACGAGGUUGAUAGGCUGGGUGUGGAAGUCCAGUAAUGGAUGAAGCUAACCAGUACUAAUUGCCCGUGAGGCUUGAC